AGAAUUAAUAUUAUCAAAAUGACCAUACUACCAAAAGCACUAUACAGAUUUAAUGAAAUUCUGAUCAAAAUCCCAAUGACAUUCCUCAUAGAAAUAGAAAAAGCAAUCAUGAAAUUCAUCUGGAAAAAGAAGAGACCCAGAAUAGCUAAAGCAAUCCUUAGCAGGAAGAGUGAAGCAGGUGGCAUCACUAUACCAGACCUUAAACUGUAUUACAGAGCAAUAGUAACAACAACAGCAUGGUACUGGCACCAAAACAGACUGGUAGACCAAUGGUACAGAAUAGAGGACAAGAGAUUAACCCACAAAACUACAAUUAUCUUACAUUAGACAAAGGUGCCAAAAACAUGCAUUGGAGAAAAGACAGCCUCUUCAACAAAUGGUGCUGGGGAAACUGGAAAUCCAAAUGAAAUAACAUGAAAUUAAACCCCUAUCUCUCACCAUGCACAAAACUCAACUCAAAGUGGAUCAAGGACCUAGGAAUAAAACCAGAGACCCUGCAUCUAGUAGAAGAAAAAGUAGGCUCUAAUCUCCAUCAGGUGGGAUUAGGCCCCAACUUCCUUAAGAAGAUUCCUUUGGUGCAAGAAUUAAAAUCAAGAAUCAAUAAAUGGGAUGGACUCAAUCUAAAAAAUUUCUUCUCAGCAAAAGAAACAAUCUGUGAGGGGAAUAGAGAGCCUACAUCUUGGGAGCAAAUCUUUACCCCUCACACAUCAGAUAGAGCACUUAUCUCUAGGGUAUAUAAAGAACUCAAAAAACUAAGCUCCAAAGAAACAAAUAACCCAAUCAACAAAUGGGCCAAGGACCUGAAGAGACAGUUCUCAGAAGAUGAUAUACAAUUAAUCAACAAAUACAUGAAAAAAUGUUCACCAUCACUAGCCAUUAGAGAAAUGCAAAUCGAAACUCAGAUUUCAUCACACUCCAGUCAGAAUGGCAGCUAUUAUGAAGAUAAAUAACAAUAAGUGUUGGCCAGGAUGUGGGGGAAAAGGUGCACUCAUACAUGCUAUCCCUCUCCUAGGUCUUAAAAACAGCAUACUACAGGGACACAGCCACAUCAAUGUUUAUAUAAGCAUAAUUAAUAAUAGCUAAACUGUGGAACCAACCUAGAUGCCCUUCAAUAGAUGAAUGGAUAAAAAAUGUGGCAUAUAUACACAAUGGAAUAUUACUCGGCAAUAGAAGAGAAUAAAAUCAUGGCAUUUGCAGGUAAAUGAAUGGAGUUAGAGAAGAUAAUGCUAAGUGAAGUUAGCCAAUCCCCCAAAACCAAAUGCCAAAUGUUUUCUCUGAUAUUAGGAAGCAGAUUCAUGAUGGGGUAGGGAGAGGGAGCUUGGGAGGAAUAGAUGAACUCUAGAU
rnacentral:lncRNA from 1 species